UGUCAUCCCUCCAUCUCACUCUCCGUCUUCAGGCUCAUCUAGACUAUCAAGCAUCACCCGCAGGAACAAGCGAACACUUUGCCCGUUCACUAGUUUGCCGCUGGUGCUCGCUAAAUCAUGGAUGGAGUGUCUGUGAUGGCUGGUUCGUGAAAUCAUCAGACACUGCCCGCGCAUGGUAAUAUGACGCCGCUGCCAGACACACGAGGCUUAUAAGGAGGUGUGGCGGGGCGGGAGACCACACCUGCACAAUUUCACAGUGAAGAAGUGAAGACGAAAAACUGGCUGAGUGAAAUGUCAUCCUCAGGUGAAAAUGCUUGAAAUGAAGUGGAAUUAAAUACACGAGAGAAAGAAAAUAUGUGCAAACUAAGAAAAAGGUAAAUGAAAGCAUGAUAGAAGAAAAAUAUAGUGUAAAAAUAGAAAAAAAAAGUCUUAAUUUAUUUGUCUGUUGUUUUAUUACCAGUAUAUAUUCAGUUGUUUAUUUAUCCCUUUAUUUCACGACUAGAAUUCAUACAGUUUUUUUUUCCUUGCUUCAUUUAAUUCUAGUUUAGUUUAUUUGCUUCACUUUCACUUUUCUCAAAUACGCACGUUCAUUUUUUUUUUUCUCUCUCCAUUUAUUUAUUUUUUUAUUUCUAUUCCGGCAAGACAAGAUUUAGUGCAAGACUCACCACGUUUUCCUCGUCAUAGUUAAUUCCAAGCCAGCUAUUUCACCUGACUUUGAUUCACUGCCACGCUCGUGUUUAUUACUCUGAUAGCUCUACACUAUUCAUUCACUUUUUUUAUUCUCUUAUUUAUUUCUAGUCGAUCAAAAGUCUUCCAUAUUUUUUUGUUUCUUAUUGGGCAAGAAUUCGCUGCUCUUCUCGUGCUGAAACAAUUCAACAUUAUUUCCUUUUCAUUUUUUUUUGUUUUUUUUAUUCAUUUAUCUAUUUUGCUUUAUUUCUUUCUCUUUUUCUUACGUGUUUCUCGAAUUAUUUUGUUGUCGUUUUCUUGUUUUG